CCCUUUUAACUUACGCCCCCCCACCUUCUCGCUUCAUCUUCAUCAUUUUCUUAAUUUUCUCCAUUUCCUCUCAAGAACAAGUUUUCUUCUCAAGAUUUAAUCUCCAUAAGUUGGUUCUUGAUCUUUUGGGUAAUUCAACCUUCAAGUGUUCUUAGUUAGAAAACCUUCAUCUUCACCUCUUUAUCCACCAAGAAACACACUCAAGGUUAAAUGAUUCAUAGCACAAGAUGAACGACAAGCUUUAGUUUCAAGCGGCAAAAAGUGUAAUUCAACUAGGCAGCCACAUCAACGAUGAAUAAUCAACCAAAUCAGCAUAAAUGAGUAUGUGGUAGGGGCACCCGAAUCCAAUAGGUAAUGGUGACCAAAUAACCAAGUCAAUAUGGAAUUUGUACCCCUAGAAAGAAAGAAAUUAAUUUCAUAGACCAUUUAAACCAAAACUAGAAAGUUGAUUGGACUAUAGUGACAUUAACUCCAUAAAUUAUAUCUAUGCACCCAUUGUAUGUUUUUGGGUGGUGUAUCUUUCUUAUACUAUUUAAAAGAAUGUGUUUUUAAUGUAGAGUAGUUAUUAGGUUUUAUUGUGAAAGAGUUACUUUUUGAUGUGU